UAGACUAUUUAAAUGUAUGACUAUGCACUUAUUGGCCUCUAGUUUCACAAUGGUAAACUGGCGUAAACAGCUGACAGUGGGGUGGUGACACAAAAUGUCAAACUCACCAAGGAUGACUCUAAAGAUGAAGUGGGAUAAGCACAGGAUGUAGAGUAUACAAUACGCACAACAGUGAAACACAGAAAGUUACUUUGGGAAUAUUAAAAAUGAAUGAAAUAAGCAUCAAAAAUGAUCUUACAGCAAAUAAUUUAAUCAAUAAAAUUAAAUUGUGAGUCAGUAAACCUAAAGGUCCCAAUAGGGUGAUUAUAAGAAUGUUAUACAGGGCUUACGUUGAUAGAAAUAAGUGAACUAGUGCUCCAGAAAAUUCACUUUUUCGUUUGUUUAAUUGAUAUAGCACUUAUAUAUACACAUAUAAUAGUGUUUCCCAGCAGCACAUUGCUUUGCUUCUAACUAAACACACAAAAUGGCUUAAAGUUUAUGUGUAUGCACAUGGAAAUGGAUUUGGUAAAAUAAGCCACUUAAGAACCAAAAUACUAAUUUGAGGUUGUAUGAGACACAUUUCCUUAUUUUUUUAGGAUGAUGUGUGUGUGUGUUUCAAGCUGUAGGUAAAUAUGAUUUAUGUGACAGGAGACUGAUGGAUAUUAGUGGUAAACUGAAAUGAUACAGAUCUCAAAGUUCUGUAAAACCGUGAUGAGGUUAACGAUAUCCCUAGCUGAGAUAGCUGGUGGAGGGACAACCUACAAAGCGCUGAUACACUGAGUCACUUUGCACCGUAAUGUGUUUACAAUAAUUAGAGGCCACAUUAGUGAAAACACAAUCAAUCAUAAACUUACAGUAAAGGAAGAGUUGAAAAUGAGGACCCCCCCCCUCUCUGUUAUCUACUCUUAUGGUCAUUAUAGGUUGUGGUCUCUAUCCAAAUUGCAUAUUGAUUUCUGCUGUUUUCAUGGAAAGCUAUUUAGUUAUUACUGAAUUUCAAACUUUUACACAACUGAAUUAUAGAUGAUACUAUUUACAUUGAACAAGAAAUGUGAAGCACCAUACAUUUUGAGAAUAACAGAUUCUAGUUUGUUGUUGUGCUGAUAAUGCUACAAUGAUGCUCUCAUUCUGAGACAAAAUCUUAUUUCCUCAUCCAUUCCUCUACGUGUUGCUGUCUAGCUUUUCCUUUUUAUUCAGUUUCAUUAUGAUUCUUUUUAAUUUUUUAAUUUAAACUUUAUUUAAAGGUUGUCUACAAAGUUACUGGAUUUUAAUGAGCACACAGUGGGAUGCCUGUUGCUCAUCUGUUAGACAGGUUUUUUCUUUUUAAGGUUUGUGAUCAGGUUUGACUCCUCACAUGACAAAUUGCCUCUAUCCUUGACAUUAAUUUAUUCUUGCAAUGACUUGCUCUAAAAUGUCAAUUGAGAUUAAAAAAAAAGACUACCUUGA